AUGCAACUGGUCGAGUGGCCAAAUGGGCGAUUUGAACUCCUUCCCCUAGAUAUCAAGUUUGAGGCAAAGAAAGUUGUCAAGUCCCAAGCAAUAGCAGAUUUCCUCGCCGAGUGGAUCGAACAGCAACUGCCGACUCAAGUUCACUCUAAACACUGGACCAUGUUCUUUGAUGGAUCUAAGAUGCUGAACGGUUCUGGUGCUGAAGUAGUUCUGGUAUCCCCCCGAGGAGACAGGCUCAGAUAUGUCCUCCAGAUUCACUUUGAUUCCUCCAACAACGAAGCAGAAUAUGAAGCAUUCCUGUAUGGGUUGUGCAUGGCCAUUUCACUCGGCGUCCGUCGCCUCAUGGUCUAUGGCGACUCAGAUUUGGUAGUUAAUCAAGCGAUGAAGGAGUGUGACGUCAGAAGCCCAGCCAUGACUGGUUACUGCAACGCAGUGAGAAAGCUUGAGAAGAAGUUUGAGGGAUUAGAACUCCACCACAUACCCCGACUGAAAAAUCAAGCAGCCGACGAUUUGGCAAAGAUAGGUUUCAAGAGAGAAGCCAUUCCCAGCAAUGUAUUUUUGGAGCAUAUCCACUUGCCGACAGUUCAGAAAGAUCCUUUUACUGAAGAGCCCCCGCAACCUAAGAGCGCCACAGAUCCGACUGAAGUCGAGGUCCCAGCCGUGGUUGACCUGAUCAUGGAGGUUAUGGCCAUUACUCCCGACUGGACGGUGUCCUACACUGCGUACAUCCUCAGGAAAGAACUCCCAGAGGAUGAAGAAGAGGCUCGACAGAUCGUCCGUCGAUCCAAGGCCUUUACUGUGAUAAGAGGGCAGCUGUUCAGGGAAAACGUGACUGGAGUCGGUCAAAAAUGCAUAACACCAGAAGAAGGUCGAAUGAUCCUCAAUGACAUCCACUCAGGGACCUGUGGUCAUCAUGCGUCCUCCCGGGCCAUCGUGGCUAAAGCAUACCGAGCUGGAUUCUAUUGGCCACGAGAAAAUGAAAUGGCGAAAGAUAUAGUCGACAGAUGUGAAGGCUGCCAGUUUUACUUCGACAUGUCCCACAAGCCAGCGUCUGCUCUGAAGACCAUCCCCCUCAUCUGGCCCUUUGCUGUUUGGGGACUGGAUAUGGUUGGACCACUGAGAACUGGCAGAAGAGGCUUCACUCAUGUGCUCGUUGCAGUCGACAAGUUUACCAAAUGGAUCGAAGCUAAACCUAUCAAGAACCUUGAUGCUAGCACCGUUGUCAGUUUUAUCAAAGAAUUGACGUUCAGAUAUGGAGUCCCACACAGCAUCAUCACGGACAACAGGUCGAACUUCGACUCCGAUGAAUACAGAGCUUUCUGCACCUCUUAG
rnacentral:rRNA from 1 species